rnacentral:rRNA from 1 species
UGAGGAAUAUUGCGCAAUGGGGGCAACCCUGACGCAGCAACGCCGCGUGAGUGAGGAAGGUUUUCGGACCGUAAAGCUCUGUCGAGCGGGAAGAAAUGCAUGGUGGCUAAUAUCCAUCAUGCUUGACGGUACCGCUAAAGGAAGCGCCGGCUAACUCCGUGCCAGCAGCCGCGGUAAUACGGGGGUGCGAGCGUUGUUCGGAAUUAUUGGGCGUAAAGAGCGUGUAGGCGGCCGAAUAAGUCAGAUGUGAAAUCCCUGGGCUUAACCCAGGACGUGCAUUUGAAACUAUUCGGCUGGAGUAGGGGAGAGGAAAGUGGAAUUCCUGGUGUAGAGGUGAAAUUCGUAGAUAUCAGGAGGAACACCGGUGGCGAAGGCGACUUUCUGGCCCUAUACUGACGCUGAGACGCGAGAGCGUGGGUAGCAAACAG